UACGAAGGGGGCUAGCGUUGCUCGGAUUGACUGGGCGUAAAGGGCGCGUAGGCGGUUCGUACAGUCAGACGUGAAAUUCCUGGGCUCAACCUGGGGGCUGCGUUUGAUACGUGCGGGCUUGAGUUCGGAAGAGGGUCGUGGAAUUCCCAGUGUAGAGGUGAAAUUCGUAGAUAUUGGGAAGAACACCGGUGGCGAAGGCGGCGACCUGGUCCAUUACUGACGCUGAGGCGCGACAGCGUGGGGAGCAAACAGG
rnacentral:rRNA from 1 species